rnacentral:lncRNA from 1 species
GCUGGUGUUGCGCUGACGUCUUCACCUUUAUAAUCUAAACAGUAAAAAUUAUCGGCAUUAACAUUCAAUUUGGUAUUUAUCUUUGACCUGUCAGGUUUUUUACUACUGGCCCAUAGUUUUGCUGACUUGCAACAACAUAAACAACGCGCAAUGACAACAGCCGUAACUCCAAAUAGCGCUAAUCCACCGACUGUAAGGCCUGUUAUUAACCAUUUGCUUACUUCACCAUUGGGUAUUUUAGUUGUCAAUUGGU